GGGCAGCAGGAAGAGGAAGUGAACACGCAGCCCAUGCUGGCUAUGUGCCAGAGAGCCAUGCCCUAGCACUGUCUGGCUUCUAGCCUGAGCCACUGCAGGCAUUUGGCUGCAUUUCCUGAAUCAAUGAAAAGAGGAGGAUGACUUUUGUCCCAGGAAGUGCAUAGCGCCACAGAGCUGAGAAUUCUGCAGACGUUUUGGGGAGGUAACUGGGAGUCUCUUGACCUCUGUGACUUUUACUAAUAAAAGCUUCUUCCAUAACAAACCAAGAGACCAUGAUGAAAUGGAGUUUCCAGAACCAUCACGGUGGAGAAGAAAUAGAACUGAAUUAAACCACCAUCAUUAAAGAAAAGAUUUAAACACCCGCCCUUGUGCUUUCCAUCAGGAUAUUCAAAACUUCUCAAAGCAGGGAGAGAUAUCAGGCAUACUACAUUGAAAAGAGAAGACUCAGACUGAGAUUUUGGCAUUAUUUACCUCUGAAUAUAGUGGCCUGCAUCCUCUCUGUGGGCAUGGUGAGCUUGAUGACUGGUUGCUAAGCAUCAGUGGCUUGAUUAAAAACGAGAAGAAUGCUUGAAAAGAGAAGCCCUUAUCCACAAAUAUGUACCACUUCUGUCAGGAACUCUUCCUGACAGAAUCACUCUUCCUGCUCUUCCCAAUAGCAACAAUAAGACAGAUGAAGAUGAAGGGGAAAAGAAGAAGGGAGAAUAUUCAAUGAAAUAUUUACAAGUCUAACAUCCAAAGCUAUUCAUUGUGUUAAAGAUGAACUAUAUAACAAGAGCUUUUGUGCACUGACAGAUGGCUGGAGACAGAACAGCUCUUGACUAACAGAUCUCUUCACAAGUGGGGCAACAAGACUCGGUCAUGUUUGCUAGAUGUAACUCCCUCUGUUCUACAAACAAGCUCUUUCCUUGCUAUUGCCUAACUAUAUCGCUGCAAAAAUUUGUGCAGCAGAUGUAACCUUUGCCCUGUAAAUUUGACUUGCUUGCUGCUGUUGCUUCCCACACAUUACACAUGUAAUGUCUACAUAGGAGAGCCUUUCCAAAGUUUCUGGUUAUCUCUUGCUUAUCAAUCUUAGCUCAUCUUAACUCUGCUUUACAAUUAGAGUCCUCUUACCUUAGUGCAUAUCUGACUUCCCAGAUUUCAAACUUACUUCUUUUUUUCUAAAACCUGCCAUUAACUACAACACAAACAUAUAUAUAAAACAUUUUAAAAGUAGGAGAUCACAUUCUGUUUCCUGGCUAAACCCUGAUGUUUGGGGCUAUCAGGAAAUAGGGAAGAGAAAUUGUGAGCCAUACUGUAGCCACUAUGGAACCAGUAAAACAGAAAUCUUAGGAGCCAGUUAUUUAUACAGCCAUGUAAGUGUACUUAGAGAUUUCCCAUCAGGAGUACACGGCAAACGGAUAGUUUGCAGUUCUGCCCAUCAACUUCUGUUAAUCUAAAGGCCUCAUACGAAGCCUAACAGAGUCUAUGGAAAAGUUCCCACUGACCAGAGAUCUGAUCCCAUAUGACAAAUCCUAUUAUUUUCUUAGUUACUGACUGAGAGCUAUUUGAUUGUGAACUGGAAAGAUUUUCCCUUGCUGUUCUUAUGAAGUGAGCUACAUUUAUUAAGUAAGAAACAAUUAAAAAACAGCAUGUUUUUCUUGGAUCAUUACAAUCCAAGUAUUUUAGGGCAGAAUGCUCUCCUAAUGUAUGUAUGGCUCCACAUAUUGUUGUUUUUUUUUGCCCCAACAGUCUACAAUGAAGAGAAGACGUAUUGAUUUUUGCUGGUGGGAAUUCUCCAAGGAACUGUUUUAGUGGAUGCCUCACUGUUUUGGCUGCUACUUCAAAUAUCCAGCUUGCAUUGCAACAUCUAAAAUGUUCUGCAAUAAAACUUAGUAUAUGAAACUGCAGUUGAAUAGGUAAAAAGUAGCUAUUUUUAUCCACAAAGGCACACUAGAUAAAUUACUGAACCUACUUUCUCCUUUACUUAAUCUUUUGUUCUUCAUUACCUGUCUCUUGUUCGUUCUACUCACCAACAUUAUUGGUAUGUUGUAUGAAGGUAAAAUGCUUCAGUGGCUCAAAUUGCUGAUGUCCAGUAGAAGGUGCUGGGGGCUGAUGUGGCUCUGAAAGUUAAGCUCUUAUUUUACAGCCAUCGCUAUCACUGUCUUUUAUCUUUGCCUUUUUUUCUAACACAAAAUGAAAACAAAUUGUGAAAUGUCAACUUUUCUCAUGAAAUGGAAAUUCCAAGGUUUAACCAACUCUACUCAUGCUUGUGUUUAAGCAUGUGAGUAAUUGCAUUGCCAUUCAGAAAGGUACUUAGGCACACCAAUUAAGGUUAAGCGUUUGCAUAAGUGUUUAGCUACUAAAUCCCAGUGUGUAUCAGUAGGUCCUACUUGUAUCUUGAUUGGCUCAGUCAUUGACUCUGCCGCCCUUCUGCGCUACUCCGAAAAAGCCAAACUACACUCUGGGAGCUGAGACCACUCUCAUGUUUGGAUGUGAAAAACACUUGAGUUUUGUGAGUUUAAAUCUUCAAACACGGUUGUGUGUUUUGUCCCAUUUGGAUAAAUUUUUGCAUGCAAUAGCUGGGAAUGGGUAAGUGCUCAACACUAGAGAGUCCCAUACAGAAACAUCAAAGAACUUCUGAAUCAGUCUGACAGGGCAGCAUAAGGAUGUUAUUCCCUCACCCACAACUCCUGGAUUUUACCUGUGGUCUUUUUACUCAUUGUCACUGUAAUGAAAUGAAAAGAGCAGUUAAGGAAAACCUGGAACCAAUAGGCCAUUGGCGUUUUUUGCAUGUGAAAAUUCUAGGACAGGGCAGUCCAGAUGGCAUCCUGCCAAGUUGCCACCCCCAGGCUCAUGCCCAGCUGCUCUUCCCAUCCCCCCCAUUGUUCCCGGUUCCCCUUCCCUCCUCUGGCUUUUACUGCCUGCCCCCACCCCAGGGGGUGAAGCAAUGCAGCACAGUGCAGCCAGCUGAGCUGAGGGCCUGGGGCAGGUGCAUGAUGGAGCUGUGGGGUGCACAGGUGCAUGGUGCAGCGGUACAGCAGUGGGAUGCGGGGGGGCGGGAUCUCCAGGCAUGCAAUGCAGAACUGAAAGAGAAGGCAGGUGUGCAGUACAGUAGGGGUGGGGGAGUUGUCUGUGCAGCAUGCCAUCCAGGGUGCAAUGCCUGUGGCUCAUCCUGGUGUCGUCCACGGGUGUGUAGCCCCUGCUGAUGCAGACAAUUCUAAGACAAUAAAUUAAUACCUGCUUGUAGGAAAGACUCUUUUCACAGUGAAACAUGGAAGCCCACUUGUGCCAUGAGCCAUGCCUCAAUAACUCAGAGUAUUAGAGAUGAAAGAGACCAGUGGUUCUUUUGUCUUGCAGUUGGUAAGCCAAUGCCCAACUCCCAUUGUAAAGUGAUACCAUCAUGGAAAGUCAACACAAAGAUACUGACUUCUCUUUCAAACAAAUGAGUCAAUAGGUCUUUAUGGCAGAUCUCUGCUAUCAUAAUUUGUCAAUAGUUCAUGCUGGCCAACCCCCACUCCUCCCCCCCUCCCCCCCAUUUUUAAAGGAAUGAGAAAACGUAUGACAUCUAUUAUUGCAGUGAUAUAAAACCUAUAGGUAAUGAUGUGCACAAAAACACUGCAGUUGUAGUUCAGCAACUUUUUCUUUCUAAAAGAGAAGUGAUGAGUGCUACCUUGGUCUUUGCCUUCUUGAUAUUGGAUUGCUUAUCCUUUCAUUUGUAGUUUUCAAUUCUACAAUACAGUAUUUUUGAGGGAAUUAAUUUAAAGUGAGUUCAUAAUUGGCAGACGUCAAGACUAGGGUUCUCUACCAGCAGAACACAUCCAACAUGGCAGCUCACUUAUGAUCCCUUGGUAAUGAGGCUCAGUCCUGCUUCUAAGUGAAAGAUUAUAGCUCAGUUUCCAUGUCUAUUCAACCUUUGCUGUCUUCAAUGACAUGGCCAACAGGUUGGGAACUGUGAAAACAUCCUUCAGACUAAAUGCUAGGCAAUUCAUUUCAUAAUGCACUUGCUCACUUGGGCCAAACUUAAAUCAGUAUUUUGAAAAAAAAGACCAUAACAUAUUUCAGCACUUUAAGCCAGAUGGCUCUAACGUGAAUAUUUUGAGGUAGAGCUAGAGAAUCUGGCUUGAAAAUGUGUUUAAUUUGUACAUGUAUGCAGCUGUGUGUCCUGUUGCCCUAGUUAUGAACUUUAUGUAGGAAAGCAGCCCUUUUAGGACAGAAUUUCAGUAUAUGAUUAUUGUCAAGCAUUUGCUUAAGUUUUAUCCUGAGCAUGAAUGCACUUAAGCAUAUGUUUACAUGCUCUCCUAAACUGGAACCUAUAUGCACAGACUGGUUUUUAUGCAAUUGCAAGAAUUAUAUUUGUAAAUCAUGGUAAUUGCUCAUGCAAAACAUGCACGUAUAUUUUUACAUUAAUAGCUGUGUACAGUUAUAAAAGGUUAACCUGCCUUUCAGAAAAUGACUAUUGAUCCUGACUGCUUCACUUUUUGAGUGUCCUGUUCAAGAUACCUGAUGGUGGGACCUAUAUUUAGAAAUAGCACCCACACUUGGAACAUUAGGCUUUUAAGUAAGCUCAAGUUAGGCACAGAAACUAAGACUCUCCAAAUCACUAGUUGUCUAUAGAAAAACUGUGUUUAUAUUACUCCCACACCAGUAAUGUUUAGUUCUGUAAGGAACGAUGGACACCUUUGAAGCAAAGUGUUUAUCCAUUUAAAUAUAUAAGCAAACAAACAAACAUUUUAUAUAUAUAUAUAUAUAUAUAUAUAUAUAUAUAUAUAUAAACACACACACACACAAACGCACUACAGUUUAAGAAGCAAAAUAAACUGGAAUUCUUUAAUUUAGUCUAUGCAAUAAUUUCACAUUUCCUGUCUAUCCUUUCACUGAGACUAUAUUGAUCUUCCAGGCACUGGAAGAUCUCAUGGUCUGCAUACCUACAAAGUCUUUUCCUCAUCCUCUUGUUUGU